GCCGGGAGAUGGGAAUCAAAGCCCCCGUUCUUCCAGCGCCCCCACCGCGGCCCCCACCGCGGCCCCCGCCUCUCGGAUCCCCGCGGCUCCGCGCACCCCUGCUGGCAACCGCGGGAAGUGGAGCCCUCCAGGGGCAGCUGUUUGGAGUUCGAAUCUCGCCUUUUACAGCAGAGGAACCUGGGGAUCUUGUUCUGUUGUCCAGGCUAGGGUGCACUGGCAUGAUCAUAGCUCACUGCAGCCUUGACCUCCCAGGUUCAAGCAAUCCUCCUACCUCAGCUUCCUGAAUAGCUGGGACUACAGACGUGUGCCACCAUGACCA
rnacentral:lncRNA from 1 species